CCAGACUCCUACGGGAGGCAGCAGUGGGGGAUAUUGGACAAUGGGGGAAACCCUGAUCCAGCGACGCCGCGUGAGUGAAGAAGUAUUUCGGUAUGUAAAGCUCUGUCAGCAGGGAAGAAAGAAAUGACGGUACCUGACCAAGAAGCCCCGGCUAACUACGUGCCAGCAGCCGCGGUAAUACGUAUGGUGCAAGCGUUAUCCGGAUUUACUGGGUGUAAAGGGAGCGCAGGCGGCGCGUUAAGCCUGGUGUGAAAGCCCGCGGCCCAACCGCGGGACUGCAUUGGGAACUGGCGCGCUGGAGUGCCGGAGGGGCAGGCGGAAUUCCUGGUGUAGCGGUGAAAUGCGUAGAUAUCAGGAGGAACACCGGCGGCGAAGGCGGCCUGCUGGACCGUGACUGACGUUGAGGCUCGGGAGCGUGGGGAGCAAACAGGAUUAGAUACCCGGGUA
rnacentral:rRNA from 1 species